AUGAGAGUAGCGCAAUUGGUAGCGCAGCGGUCUCCAAAACCGAAGGUUGUAAGUUCGAGUCUUACCUCUCGUGCUA
rnacentral:tRNA from 1 species